CCGCCAAAAGCAUGGUGUAAAAGAUAAAUAUGUUCAUACAUACUUUAAAGCAGAUAAUUGAAGUAUAAAAUUACUUUUACAGUGACACAUGGGCCCCCAACUGACUAAGAAGGUGUAGGGCUACGAACCCUUACUUUCUAGGACGAAACUCCGAGAUUAAUUCUCGUCUUAAUCAACUAUCAACAAACUAUUCUGAGCCUGAAAAAUGGAUAGGAAGAGGGGUGAGAUUAUGAUUACAUAAUCCCAGUGAGUAAACAGACACCAUCUAAACUAUCUAAAGGCAAGUAAAGGGAGACAAUUAAAAAUAGUUCAUUUCAGCAAAUUUUUCACAACACGAAUAUUAAUUUCAACCAAAUAAUCAAUAUGGCUCGUGAAUUUCUCAAAACUUGGCUCCUGCCAAAAUCAUUCUUGCGGGUAUCUUCGUCAAGGUAUCCCACUGAGACCGCCAAGGCUGUUAAAAAUUCAUAUUUCGCAUAAAACACAUUUUUCGUUGAACAUCACAGUCGUUCCCUGGUGUUGGUUGAGUCUCACUCUCACGUGGUGGUUAACAUGAAAUGCACUCAAAAAGCCCACCUCAGGAGAUACCCUACACGCCUCUACGACUGAGAAUAUAAAGGAGUUUACCGUGCCCCUCUAAUAAGCUGGUCCACAGAACCCCUACCACUGCAGUAGCUAAUCUUUAAUCCACCAAUUGAUCAAAUCUUAAUGGCAUAGCAUAGCAAUUACAUUACUAACCAAUUUAUCAAGGCAAAACAGAUAGUUCAUAUUUUUCAACACAGGUAUAAAUUCAGCCAAUCAUGCCAAUUUAUCACAAGCCAUUUAAUUCAAAUCAUAAUUUACAAUAAAUCACAUGGUCUCCAAUUACUCAAAUUUUCAAAGCCAUCAUUCAAUUUCAAGACAAUUUUAUGAAAUUAUUUUAUAAAAUCACAAUUUCUCCUAAAACAUAGCAAUUUACCAUUUAAACCCAUUUUCUACAAAAUCACACAAUUGUAUAAAACUACUCUAGAUAAUUAAGACGAUAAUAAGUUCACUCACAGUAUUUGGAGUAGAAAUGCUCCUAUUUUCAGUCCGCAAGUACAGUCCUUUACCCGUAUCCAAUGGCUCACCACCGAGCCAUAAUCCAUGACACAUAUUCCAAUUAAAUUGUAUCAACAGUCAUAAGCUAUUUUAGGCUCGAUAUAUAUAUGCAUGAUAUGAAAUGAAAAAUACACAGGUAGCCAUCUACACCCGGUAUUGGCCUAAGUCGAUUUUUCAUCCGAUAAAUUGGCCAAUGCAUCCAAUUUCACUCCAACUUGCUCCAUUUCUUUUCUAAUCCCUCAAUUCACCAAGCACAACUAAUUAACACACAAUUAGGCAAAUUUAUCUUCACUUUUCUUCUUGGAACUUUCGGCCAUUGUGGUGCACUAUCACUAAAAAUUUUCCCAUUCCAUUUUCUCACCAUAAAUCAUCAUUUCAUCAAAUUUUCAACUAAUUCACUUGAUCACAAAAUUAAUUCAUUACUUCUACACUUCAUAUAGGGUUUGGCCAUUGAAGGUUCAUGGGGAAAAUGGAUUCUUUUCUUGUUGUUUUAUUUCUAAACAUGUUUAACUAACUCUAAACACCAACAUAACUCAAAAUCAAACAAUUCCAACAUCUUUCUCUCUCCAUACCCAUUUUGACCAGCCAUGAUUUCAUCAUGAAAACAUGUAAUUUAACCAUGGAAAUUAAGGGAAAAUGCAUGGGUAAGGUAAAUCACUAGCAAAAUCAAAGAAAUUUUACCUUUGCUUGAUCAAAUCCUUGAAUUCCAACACUUUCUCUUUGAUUUUUCCCACCUAGGGUUUGUUCUUCCUUGGUUUCUCAUCUCUUCUGGUUUGGCUGAUCACUAUGGGAGAAAUGGGCUGAUUUUUUAC
rnacentral:lncRNA from 1 species